GUCGUUUGUUCUUUGGUAAUUGCUUUAAUUAGACUAGCCUAGCGGACUCACCAACGAAGCGAAGCCGACGUGCCGGCCUCGGACCGCGAUAUUUUCCGGGGCCUCGCUGCGGAGAAGAAGGAGUCUCUCUGCGGAGUUGGGGGUGGGGUGGUGGGUGCUCGUUGUGCGUCGGUGUAGGUGCAGGGUAAGGUGAGGUGCCACUCCAACUCGCUAGGCUGCUCGGGAAGUCGUCGUUGCUGCCGUCUCUCUAGGUCUCUUGGAAAAAAGAGAGGACCUAAGAACGGAAAAAAGUCGGAACAAAACGAGGCCAUGCCGCUCUUUCCCAAGAAAACGUUAUGGGAAGAUCAAGCAGGCUAAACAAAGGAGAAGAAGGGGAGCAAAGAGAUUAAAAUAACUCCUUGUCCCGGAAAAAAAGAAGACUAAAACGUGGUCUUUCGAGGAAAAAAAAGUAAGGCCAAAACCAAGCCGGAAGAGAUGUAGUGGAAGAAGAUGGAGACGGGUUCGGGAGUACCGGCGACGGUAUCUGUACAUGUUCAUGUUGUGGUCGUGCGUGGUCUAGCCGAGGCGGCGGAGACGGAGCCUAGUCCUCGAGUACUUUCGUGAGCUUGGAAAAUAGUGCUAACGAAGGAGGAGAAGGAGAGUGAUGGGGAUGGUGAUGAUGAGGAGAGGGAGGUACUGGGUUCUAAGCAUGUACCGGUGGGGUAGCAGCAGCAGGAUGCGGAGGAGCAAGCGUCGGAGAGGAGACGGGUGGUGGCGGGGGCGGAGCGGCAGAAAGAGGGUCGAAGGCGGCGAGAUGAGGAGCGUCAUACGGCACUUGCCUAGGUACCCCGACCGGGUCGAGCCGGGCCGGGUCUAGGUCGUCUAGGUCCGGGUCAAGAAGCAGGUCGUCGUCGUCGUCGUCGUCUCCCCGGACCGACCACCGAGGAAGGAGCCGGGCGCGCGCGACGGCUACUUCGUCAGGCCCAGCGGCGGCGCGCGCAGGCGGCGGCGCGACCGCGACCGGCCUCACCGCGGGCGCGUCAGGUUCGACAUGGCGCCGCACGCCGUCGCCGUGACCCCGUUCACCCACCGCCUCUAGGCGGAGGGGUUCUUGGCGUGGUCCGACACCGAGCCGUGGAAGCUGUGGCGGCUCCUGCGGCGCGAGCGGAUGCUGUUCCGGCGGAAGGCGGAGGCGCCGCUGGAGCGGGCGGAGUUGAAGGGCAGCGAGGCCGCGCCGCCGCGGGUGGACCGGCCUGGCGAGGUGCGGAGGCAGCUGCGGUUCGAGUGGCGGUAGACGCUCAGGGAGCGGCGCGGGAGCAGGUUCUUGAGCCUCGGCCUCAGGGGGUUCACGAGCCGCAGCUGCCUCCCGCUCCUGAGCCGCAGGCGGCCCAGGUGCGGCGGCCAGGGCCUCUACCUCUUCGACCUGAAGUGCCUCCGCGGCACCCUGCUCAGCCUCUGGAAGGUGGACGCGUUCAUGGGCAGGCACCUCUAGCUGACCCUGAGGUAGGACAGCACUCGUCGUUCGUCGACGACGAUGAUGAUCAUGUCAGAAGCAAUUCGAGGCAUCGAUACUACAUUAGAGAGGAAGCUAGCUUAGCCGCCGACGAGACCGGGCUGCCGUAAAAUCUGCAGCCGGUACCGACGACGCUCAUCGUCAUUAAUUGAUGAUGAUCAUCAUUAAUCGGUCACCACAAAUCAUACGAUGAUGCACCGCAUUAACUAGAGGACCAACUGGACGGCCGUCAAAAAAGUGCCGAUCCGCCGGUCAGCUCUCCACAUUAGUACAAAUGGUCGACUUUCUUAACGUGAUCGAAUACAUUGAUAUUAUACGUACAGAGAACCACGUGGCGAUGACUAGGUCGCUACAC
rnacentral:rRNA from 1 species